UACGUAGGGUGCGAGCGUUAAUCGGAAUUACUGGGCGUAAAGCGUGCGCAGGCGGUUCUGAAAGUCAGCUGUGAAAGCCCCGGGCUUAACCUGGGAAUGGCAUUGAGGACUGUGGAGCUGGAGUGCGGCAGAGGGAGGUGGAAUUCCACGUGUAGCAGUGAAAUGCGUAGAGAUGUGGAGGAACACCGAUGGCGAAGGCAGCCUCCUGGGCCGACACUGACGCUGAGGGCACGAAAGCGUGGGGAGCAAACAGG
rnacentral:rRNA from 1 species